rnacentral:rRNA from 1 species
AUACGGAGGGUGCAAGCGUUGUUCGGAAUCACUGGGCGUAGAGGGCGCGCAGGCGGUUUGGUAAGUCAGAUGUGAAAGCCCACAGCUCAACCGUGGAAGUGCAUUUGAAACUGUCAGACUUGAGUACUAGAGGGGAAAGUGGAAUUCCCGGUGUAGAGGUGAAAUUCGUAGAUAUCGGGAGGAAUACCGGUGGCGAAGGCGACUCUCUGGCUAGAUACUGACGCUGAGGCGCGAAAGCGUGGGGAGCAAACAGGAUUAGAAACCCCGGUAGUCC